rnacentral:lncRNA from 1 species
GGAAGCAGUUUAGGAGGUGGGCAAGCUAGUCCAGAGUACAGAGCCAUAACAGUAGUCGUUGACAGAGGAGAAGCUGUUUCCAGUCUUGUUUCGGGUUAAGAAGAGGGCAGCGUCAGCUGCGAUGCCUUUGAUACGAGGUUUGAUACGAGGUAAAGUACUUGCUUUGAAGUCAUAAGGGAAUGAGUUGUCGACCGGUCCCUUAGUUACAGGUAGUGAAUGGAAUUCUUAAAUGACUUAUUCCUAGUUGCUAGUCUCAGUUACUUACUAGUUGGGGUGUGGGUAUGCCUUGUUUCAUUCCAAUACG